CUUGGGUUUUCAACAAACAUCUACUGUACAACAACUCAGAGAACUAUAUUGUACAUGAUGGAAAGAGAGAGACAUCUGAAAUACAAACUGGAUUCCAGAUAUGACUAGUACAUUUCCUCAGAAGAGAAAGAAUGAAAUACCUCAUAAUGUGACAGGAAACCCUGAAGCACAGGCAGAGAUGGAAUGUACAAAAGGGGGCUCAUCACUCUUCGAACAAACUUCUCAAUGUACCCGGCUGUCAUAGGACCUUUGUACUCAAUGGGUCCGAAGCUGCAAAAGAACAUUAUUAAUAGCUUAAGACACCGCAGACUAAACGCUAUACCCCUAAACCUAAACCCACUGGAAUCCGAGUUGUGCUAGUUCCAAAAAAUAUUAAAUUUGUGUGUCUGAUGCCACCAUUUAUAAAGCACUAAGAACUCCCAAAUUAUUUAUCAGCAUUAAAGAAAU